CCCGCUGAACUUAAGCAUAUCAAUAAGCGGAGGAAAAGAAACCAACAGGGAUUGCCUUAGUAACGGCGAGUGAAGCGGCAAAAGCUCAAAUUUGAAAUCUGUCACCAUUGGUGUCCGAGUUGUACUUUGGAGAGGCAUCUUCUGGAGGGGCCCAGCCUAUGUGCCUUGGAACAGGACGUCAUAGAGGGUGAGAAUCCCGUCCUUGGUUGGAUGUUCCCUCCUGUAUGUAGUGUCUUCUACGAGUCGAGUUGUUUGGGAAUGCAGCUCAAAAUGGGUGGUAAAUUUCAUCUAAAGCUAAAUAUUGGCCAGAGACCGAUAGCGCACAAGUAGAGUGAUCGAAAGAUGAAAAGCACUUUGGAAAGAGAGUUAAACAGUACGUGAAAUUGUUGAAAGGGAAGCGCUUGCAACCAGACUUGCGCGCUGCUGAUCAUCCGGGGUUCUCUCCGGUGCACUCGGUUGCGCUCAGGCCAGCAUCGGUUUGGGUGGUUGGAUAAAGGCUGUGGGAAUGUAGCUUCUCUCGGGGAGUGUUAUAGCCCACGGUGCAAUGCAGCCUACCCGGACCGAGGACCGCGCUUCGGCUAGGAUGCUGGCGUAAUGGUUGUAAGCGACCCGUCUUGAAACACGG
rnacentral:rRNA from 1 species